rnacentral:rRNA from 1 species
AGUGAACGCUGGCGGUAGGCCUAACACAUGCAAGUCGAACGGCAGCACAGUAAGAGCUUGCUCUUACGGGUGGCGAGUGGCGGACGGGUGAGGAAUACAUCGGAAUCUACUUUUUCGUGGGGGAUAACGUAGGGAAACUUACGCUAAUACCGCAUACGACCUACGGGUGAAAGCAGGGGAUCUUCGGACCUUGCGCGAUUGAAUGAGCCGAUGUCGGAUUAGCUAGUUGGCGGGGUAAAGGCCCACCAAGGCGACGAUCCGUAGCUGGUCUGAGAGGAUGAUAGGCCAAACUGGAACUGAGACAGGGUCCAGACUCCUACGGAAGGAAGCAGUGGGAAAUAUUGGACAAUGGGGGAAAGCCGGAUCCAGCCAUACCGCGUGGGUGAAGAAGGCCUUCGGGUUGUAAAGCCAUUUUGUGGGGAAAGAAAAGCAGCAGGUUAAUACCCCGCUGUUCUGAGGGUACCAAAAGAAUAAGCACCGGCUAACUUCGU